GCCUGGGUAGCUCAGUGGUAGAGCAGAGGACUGAAAAUCCUCGUGUCGUCAGUUCAAUUCUGACCCCAGGCA
rfam:Parcubacteria (Thrbacteria) bacterium GW2011_GWF2_41_16 TT48_C0003, whole genome shotgun sequence.